rnacentral:lncRNA from 1 species
AUGAAUGUUCUUGGUGAUUUUCUGAGUUUUGAUCUAACUGACAAGAGAGAGAAAAACUGAUUCUGUUUUUGGUGAUGUGGCGUGGAAUGAAUGGAUCUUAUUCUGACUUGAACAGUGAUUGCACCUUUUAUAGGCUGCCAAGUGUGCUUGAGAGCCAAUGAAAGAGGGACACCUGUAAUUGGACCUUUCUGCAAAAAAAGGAUUUAAAGGACUGGGCAGCAAAUAAUAAUAAUAAAAAAAAAGGAC